AUCGAACGCUGGCGGCAGGCUUAACACAUGCAAGUCGAGCGGAGAGAGGUAGCUUGCUACUGAUCUUAGCGGCGGACGGGUGAGUAAUGCUUAGGAAUCUGCCUAUUAGUGGGGGACAACAUUUCGAAAGGAAUGCUAAUACCGCAUACGUCCUACGGGAGAAAGCAGGGGAUCUUCGGACCUAGCGCUAAUAGAUGAGCCUAAGUCGGAUUAGCUAGUUGGUGGGAUAAAGGCCUACCAAGGCGACGAUCUGUAGCGGGUCUGAGAGGAUGAUCCGCCACACUGGGACUGAGACACGGCCCAGACUCCUACGGGAGGCAGCAGUGGGGAAUAUUGGACAAUGGGCGGAAGCCUGAUCCAGCCAUGCCGCGUGUGUGAAGAAGGCCUUAUGGUUGUAAAGCACUUUAAGCGAGGAGGAGGCUACUUUAGUUAAUACCUAGAGAUAGUGGACGUUACUCGCAGAAUAAGCACCGGCUAACUCUGUGCCAGCAGCCGCCGUAA
rnacentral:rRNA from 1 species